AGUGAACGCUGGCGGUAGGCCUAACACAUGCAAGUCGAACGGCAGCACAGUAAGAGCUUGCUCUUACGGGUGGCGAGUGGCGGACGGGUGAGGAAUACAUCGGAAUCUACCUUUUCGUGGGGGAUAACGUAGGGAAACUUACGCUAAUACCGCAUACGACCUACGGGUGAAAGCAGGGGAUCUUCGGACCUUGCGCGAUUGAAUGAGCCGAUGUCGGAUUAGCUAGUUGGCGGGGUAAAGGCCCACCAAGGCGACGAUCCGUAGCUGGUCUGAGAGGAUGAUCAGCCACACUGGAACUGAGACACGGUCCAGACUCCCACGGGAGGCAGCAGUGGGGAAUAUUGGACAAUGGGCGCAAGCCUGAUCCAGCCAUACCGCGUGGGUGAAGAAGGCCUUCGGGUUGUAAAGCCCUUUUGUUGGGAAAGAAAAGCAGCAGGUUAAUACCCCGCUGUUCUGACGGUACCCAAAGAAUAAGCACCGGCUAACUUCGUG
rnacentral:rRNA from 1 species